rnacentral:rRNA from 1 species
UACGGGGGGGGCAAGCGUUGUUCGGAAUUACUGGGCGUAAAGGGCUCGUAGGCGGCCAACUAAGUCAGACGUGAAAUCCCUCAGCUUAACUGGGGAACUGCGUCUGAUACUGGAUGGCUUGGAUUUGGGAGAGGGAUGCGGAAUUCCAGGUGUAGCGGUGAAAUGCGUAGAUAUCUGGAGGAACACCCGUGGCGAAGGCGGUUCUCUGGGACGGUACUGACGCUGAGACGCGAAAGCGUGGGGAGCGAACAGG